rnacentral:lncRNA from 1 species
GCAGGGAGAAACCGGCAUUGGAGCAGCUGGACCAAGAGGUCCUCAUGGGCUGCCUGGUACUCAGGGUGAUGAAGGCAUCGUGGGAGUCCGGGGUCCUCCUGGCAUGAUGGGUCUAAAAGGCUUCCCGGGUCCGAAAGGCGAAAGAGUAAGCAACAGUCAUCUUAUCUACACAGUGUCUUGGAGGAAGGCACCAUUGUGGGAGCCUUUGUCUGCAGCAGCCCACACUGAUGAUGCCCCUGUAAAAAGAAUGGGGAUAAUCCAGCAUCUUCUGGGGUGACUGGGAGGGGUCCUCAAUCAAUGUGUAGUGGCACUAGCAACACCCUGUAAUGGCUGGGCUGAGAUGAGGCACAUGCUGUCUUUAUGCAUGCCUAGGUCUUUUUGGAUGGAAAUAUGGGAGUUUGGACAGAAAGUGACCCCAGGUAUGAUCUGGUUGAUCUCCAGAUGUGAAGGGUUAGGGGAAGAGAGCUAGAGAGGACAAUGAGUGCCCAACAGGCAACACAUACCCUUUCUUUCACAUCAGUGAGCAGAAAUCUCCUUGGUCUCCUGCUACAUCCCACUUGCAACCCUUGGAAAAUGCAGUACUGAGAACUACACCCCAAAUGCAAGGGGUGGGCAAUGGGACACCAGGGGAGAGAUCCACAUACAGCUCUGCCACUCAGAUGUUCAAGUGAAGUUUCAAAGCCUGUCUCUGUUCUCAUGGUCCUUGCAGCUUCCCUCUUCUCCUGCAGUUGCCACACCAGUCUUGAGCACUGAAGGUUAUGAGAUGCCAUCAGGACUGAGUCCUAACCUUCAGCCUCAUAUCUAUUAUAAAAAACACUCAGGAACAGCUACUGUUUCAUACACUUGCAGUAAGGCAUGCCAGAUUUGAGGUUGAAAUGUGG